rnacentral:rRNA from 1 species
GAUGAACGCUGGCGGCGUGCCUAAUACAUGCAAGUCGAGCGAAUGACGAGGAGCUUGCUCCUCUGGUUUAGCGGCGGACGGGUGAGUAACACGUGGGUAACCUGCCUGUAAGACGGGGAUAACUCCGGGAAACCGGAGCUAAUACCGGAUGAUAACGAGAAGCGCCUGCUUCUUUUUUGAAAGUCGGUUUCGGCUGACGCUUACAGAUGGGCCCGCGGCGCAUUAGCUAGUUGGUGAGGUAACGGCUCACCAAGGCGACGAUGCGUAGCCGACCUGAGAGGGUGAUCGGCCACACUGGGACUGAGACACGGCCCAGACUCCUACGGGAGGCAGCAGUAGGGAAUCUUCGGCAAUGGACGAAAGUCUGACCGAGCAACGCCGCGUGAGCGAUGAAGGCCUUCGGGUCGUAAAGCUCUGUUGUCAGAGAAGAACAAGUACCGGAGUAACUGCCGGUACCUUGACGGUACCUGACCAGAAAGCCACGGCUAACUACGUGCCAGCAGCCGCAGUAAAAC